UUCCUCCAUACCGGCGGUAGGUGACGGCGUGGGGGCAGCAGGCAGCUGCCCCAUCUUCGUCGCGUGCGACACUGCCGCCGAGCUCCUUGUUUGUGCUGCACCGUCGUCGACUUCGACCGCGUCAGCAUCAUAGCCUGUGCUACCUGCUGCCACGGCCACCGUAAGGAGACGGUGGCUCAGAUCGAAUUUUCCACCCCCACACGGAGACCACCACCACCAAAUUCCAUGGAUUGACAAAAGCUGCUUGGUGUGAAGAAUGAGUUUAGUUGUGAAAACUCAUCCUGAAUUACUUUUCGUUUUGGUGAAGACGAAUCUGUGCAUUCUCUAGGAUUGUUGUUCGCUCACCCUGUACAUUCUAUGCUGCUGUGAUCAGCUUUUUGCCUGAGUUAUGAAAGCUUCUAUCUGCCAGUAAUCUAUCUUAGUUAACUACCUUAUUUUAGAUUAAUGAAGAGAUAUCUACCUUUUGCUUGAGUUAUGAAAACUACUAUUUGAAUUUUAUCUGAGCUGUGAAAACACACAAAUUAGUGAUAUCUGCAUUGUAUCUGAGAUGUGAAAACACCCAUUUUAUUAAUGAAGAUAUAUGUACCUUUUG